rnacentral:rRNA from 1 species
GACGAACGCUGGCGGCGUGCUUAACACAUGCAAGUCGAGCGGUAAGGCCCUUUCGGGGGUACACGAGCGGCGAACGGGUGAGUAACACGUGGGUGACCUGCCCUCAGCUCUGGGAUAAGCCUGGGAAACCGGGUCUAAUACUGGAUAUGACUCCAUGACGCAUGUUGUGGGGUGGAAAGCCUUGUGCGGCUGAGGAUGGGGCCCGCGGCCUAUCAGCUUGUUGGUGGGGUGANGGGCCUACCAAGGCGACGACGGGUAGCCGGCCUGAGAGGGCGACCGGCCACACUGGGACUGAGACACGGCCAGACUCCUACGGGAGGCAGCAGUGGGGAAUCUUGCGCAAUGGGCGAAAGCCUGACGCAGCGACG